AUGGACGAGCGCGCCCGCGCAGAGGCCUGGCUCAGCUACCAGAGCAUGAGGCGCAACUACACCCUCGAGGGAAAUGACCUGCACUGGCUGGCCUGUGCCUUGUAUGUGGCUUGCAGGAAAGCAAUUCCAACUGUGAGCAGAGGGACAGCUGAGGGAAAUUAUGUGUCUUUAACCAGAAUCCUGCGCUGUUCAGAGCAAAGCUUGAUCGAGUUUUUUAACAAGAUGAAGAAGUGGGAAGACAUGGCAAAUCUACCGUCCCAGUUCAGAGAACGAACUGAGAGAUUAGAGAGGAACUUUACAGUUUCUGCAGUCAUUUUUAAGAAGUAUGAGCCCAUUUUUCAGGAUAUUUUCAGGUAUCCUCAAGAAGAUCAACCUCGCCAACAGAGAGGAAGGAAGCAGAGACGCCAACCGUGUACUGUGACUGAAGUUUUCCAGUUUUGUUGGGUGCUGUUUGUUCAUGCAAAAGGAAAUUUUCCUAUGAUCAGUGAUGACUUGGUCAAUUCCUACCAUCUCCUGUUAUGUGCUUUGGAUCUCGUGUAUGGAAAUGCUCUCCAGUGUCCUAACCGUAAAGAACUUCUGAAUCCUAAUUUUAAGGGCCUGCCUGAAGACUUUCAUAGUAAGGAUUAUAAAGUAUCAUCUGACCCUCCCUGCAUCAUUGAAAAACUGUGUUCAUUACAUUAUGGAUUAGUUUUAGAAGCAAAAGGUAUCAAGGAACAUUUUUGGAAGCCAUAUAUUCGGAAACUUUUUGACAAAAAGCUUUUGAAAGGAAAAGAUGAAAAUCUGACUGGAUUUCUAGAUCCUGGAAACUUUGGAGAUAGUGUCAAAGCCAUCAACAAGGCCUACGAGGAGUAUGUGCUGUCAGUGGGAAACCUUGACGAGCGAAUAUUUCUUGGUGAGGAUGCAGAUGAAGAAAUUGGAACCCUCACAAGGUGCUUAAACACAACUUCAGGAAUGGAAACAGCUGAAAGAGUACAAGUGAAGCAUAAUUUGCAGCAGCAUUUUGACAGGUCCAAAUCACUUAGGAUCACAACCCCGCUCACCUGCCGCAAGUAUGUUAAAGAGAGCAACCCAUAUGUGACACCUGUUUCCAUGGCAACAUACAGUUUGAGCCGCCUUCACACGAUGCUGGCAGGGCUGAAAAAUGCCCCCAGUGAAAAUCUGGAGCAAAUACUCAAGUCAUGUUCCAGAGAUCCUUCUCAAUCUAUUGCAAACAGAAUAAAAGAAAUGCAUGAAGUGUACUGCCAGAGCACACAGUCUGAAGGAGAAUUCAGUAAUUUUUCCAAAGAUGUUGCCAGUAAACAUUUCCGUCGUGCUGAGAUGCUCUACUACAAGGUCUUGGAGUCAGUCAUUGAGGAGGAGAGGAGGACUCGACUGGGAGACACUGACUUAUCUGCAAUACUGGAGCAAGACGUGUUUCACAGGUCUCUGCUGGCCUGUUGCCUUGAGAUCAUCACCUUUACAUAUAACCCACCUGGAAACUUCCCGUUCAUCACCGAAAUAUUUGACAUUCCAGUUUAUCAUUUUUAUAAGGUAAUAGAGGUUUUCAUUAGAGCAGAGGAUGGCCUCUGUCGGGAAGUAGUAAAACACCUGAAUCAUAUUGAAGAACAGAUCCUUGAAAGUAUGGCAUGGAAAGGGGAAUCCAUAUUGUGGGACAGAAUCAGAGACAAUGAAAACAAAGUUCCUAGUUGUGAAGAGGUAAUGCCACCUCAGUACUUUGAGAAAUCUGCUGGGAACAGUGUUGUGGGUUCCCCGUUGACACCAAGACGAAUAAAUGAGGUUCGUGCUGAAAGUGGAGGACUAGGAAAAGGCCUUUCCUCACCUCCAGCCACCCUGUAUGACAGAUACAGUUCUCCUACAGCCAAUCCUACGAGACGCCGCCUGUUUGCUGAUAAUGAGAACCCCUCUGACAGUGGGACCCCAGUGAGAGUUUCCCAACAGCCCGUGGUGAACACGGUGCCAGUGCAGAACAUGAAUCCCGAAGCCAUGUCGGUGACUCCGGUGCCUGGCCAGACCCUGGUCACCGUGGCAACUGCCACCGUGACAGCCAACAACGGGCAAACUGUGACCAUCCCAGUACAAGGUAUUGCCAAUGAAAAUGGAGGAAUAACUUUCUUCCCAGUCCAAGUAAAUGUAGGUGCCCAGCCCCAAGCUGUCUCUGGCCCCAUUCAGCCUCUGAGUGCCCAGGCUCUCGCUGGUACCCUGAACACCCAGAUGACUGGGGCAGCACUGCAGUUGCCAGGCCAGCUGACUGUUCAGCAGAUCUCCCCUGGAGAGCAGAGACAGACCCAGCAGUUCACUGCCACGUCCAUCAGGCCUCGGAAGACGGGCUCACUGUCACUCUUCUUCAGAAAGGUGUAUCAUUUAGCCAGUGUUCGUCUGAGGGAUCUCUGUGUCAAACUCGAUGUGUCUGAUGAGCUACGGCAAAAGAUCUGGACAUGCUUUGAGUAUUCCUUGGUGCACUGCCCUGAAAUCAUGAUGGACAGACACUUGGAUCAGCUGCUGAUGUGUGCCAUCUAUGUCAUGACUAAGGUCACUAAUGAAGACAGAUCAUUUCAGAACAUCAUGCGCUGCUAUCGGACGCAACCGCAAGCCAAGAGCCACGUCUAUCGGAGUGUCCUGAUCAAAGGCAGGCGCCGCCGCCGCUCCGGCAGCAGCGACAGCAGCAGCCAGCAGAACUCCCCCCCAGACAGGAGCAAGGAGAGGAACAAGGAAAGAAGCAGCCGGGACUCCAGCCCGGUGAUGCGCUCCAGCAGCACCCUGCCCGUGCCGCACCCCGGCAGCGCCCCCCCCACGCCCACCCGCCUCACCGGUGCCAACAGCGACACCGAGGAGGAGGAGCGGGGGGACCUCAUCCAGUUCUACAACAACGUCUACAUCGAGCAGAUCAAAGACUUUGCCCUGAAGUACACUUCAAAUGCAACCGACUCUCCUCCGCUGUCCCCGUACCCGUUCGUGCGGCUCAGCUCCCCUCGCCGGGUGCAGCUGUCCCAGAACCACCCCGUGUACAUCUCACCACACAGAAACGAGUCUGCUCUCUCUUCCCAAGAGAGGAUAUUCUACUACUUCAGCAGCAGCCCCUCGAAGAGACUAAAGGAGAUUAACAGCAUGGUUCGAACUGGAGAAACGCCCACCAAGAAGAGAGGCAUUCUCUUAGAGGAUGGCACUGAAGCCCCAGCCAAGCGCAUCUGUCAGGAGAAUCACACGGCCCUGCUGAGGCGGCUCCAAGAUGUAGCCAAUGACAGAGGGUCUCACUGAGCCCACACAGGUUUUCCCUUCCUGCUGCUCCCAGGGCUGGGCUGCUCAGCCCACACAUGGACCCACUGAGCCCUUGCAAGUGUCUUCAGCCAGACUGUGCUCAGCCCCCUCCCUGCCCCGGCCACCGCCCACUGCACUGGCUCCUCAGACCCUGACCCCACCCCCAGUCAAGCUCCUCACAAGGCAAGUGACCCAUCUCCAGCCUUCCAAAAGCAGCUGAAGAGCUUUUUCUUGCUUGGAGAACACACCCCUAACACAGCUGUGUACCUUGCACCAGGUCUUUCCUUCCCUUUGAGCUAACCAGUCCCCUCACACUGUGUUUAUCACCACUGUCAGCCAUGGACAGGCACCUGGAGGUGCAUCACAGCAAGGAGCCAUCACA